UUUCGAAGGCACAAAUGCAUACGAUCAGGAAUGCAGGCUUUUAAACAGAGUGCCGAUAACAAGCCGGAUGGUCCCUCUCCCGCUUCCAAAAAUAUUUAAACAGUUUUUAUUUGUCUGACCACAGACGUUUUCCACUUUGCUUCAGUCCAUUUCAAAUGGUUCAUACACAGCUUCUUGUUGGUGUGAUAGAGCUUCAGCCUUGUUUAUGGAUGACACGGUGAACUGUGUUCACAGACAGUGAUCUCUGAAAGUGUUCCUGAGUCCAUGCAGUGAUUUUCAUGACCGACAUCACGUCUGUUUUAAUGCAGUGCUGCCUGAAGGCCCGGAGGUCCGAAGGUUAGGAUUUUCAGCCUUGCUCCUUGUGCACACAGAUUUCUCCAGAUUCUCAGAAUAUUUUAAUGAUAUUGUGGACUGUAGAUGGUGAGAUUGUCAAAGUCUGGACAAUCCUACAUUGAGGAUCAUUAUUCUGAAAUUGUUCCGUAAUUCGUGGAUGACAUUUUUUGCAGAUUUCUGAACCUCCUUUACUUCCGAGAAGCUCUGCCUGUCUAAGAAGCUCUUUUUUAUUCCUAGUCCCGACCUGUUUCUGGUUACUUAGCCUCCCAGCUUUUUAUUUUUUAUUUUUUUUACUGUUUAUAAUUGUUAAAAAUAAAUUGUAUGCUUCUCAUUUCUUUCUCCUCUCUUAUGUCAUCUCUUAAGCAGCUCAGGUUUUAGCUGAAAUGUACAGGCCCCUUUUCAGCCAAAUGCAUAAAUCUGAGUACAUAUUUUUCUUAUUUAUUGUAAAAACAAAGUAAACCCCGGAUGCCUCCCAGGCCAAAAAAACUUUAGUCCCGAUGAUUUAUUUUUAUUUUUUACUGCUGAUCAUUUUAGCAUUACAACCUUCACAAAUGUGCUAUUUCUGCAGGACUGCUGUAAUUACAUAAGACCACAAAUGUGCUCACUACAUAUGGGCAUAAUGAAAAAUAGAUUAGGGAAAUGCAUAUUGUGGUGCCUUCUGUGGUCGGUUAUCCUGGCCACUCUAAGCACUCUGGUCAUUAUAUGGGUUCUAAUGUAGCAUUUUGCCGCACAUGGAAAGCCAACGUUUGCAAAUGAUCAUGUUUCUAUUUUCCAGCACCUUUUAUAGGCAUGCAGUCAUCAACUAAAACCGUGUGACACCUGAAUGUGAAGCACAAAACAUUAGACAUUGUAUAAUCAAGCUUUCAUCGGCGUUCCAAGAAGUAAAUAACAAUAAUAAAGGUGGGUGAGACAACCUGUAACUGUCACGCU
ensembl:lncRNA